ACCAACUGAGCCACCCAGGUGCCCCAAGUCCCGUUUUUGUAAGCCCACACUAGAUGCAAGAUAGAAGCAGAAAAAUACGUUUUAUGGUAAGUACGCUAGCUUCAUUUUUUUAAUGCUCUAAAACAGUGGUUCUCCGACUUAGCUGUUCUCCUGGGAGCUUUGUAAACAGACAAACUUCCAGACUCUGCCCCCAAAGAUUCUGACUCUAGGUCUGUGUUAGGGCCUGGGAAUCUAUUUGAAAUAUUUUUAGCUACAGAAAGGACAGAGAACAAACUAACAUAGGUAACUACAGCUUUAAUAAGAGGAGUGAUCUUUUCAAAAUGUGCAUUUGAUCAUGUCAUCUCCCUACCUAAAAUCCUUCCAUGUGUUUUGAUAAAGACUAAAUCUUUAGUUGGCCCGCAAACCCCAGCAGCUUCAAACACUGACUGCUUGUUCCGGCCCCACCUCUAUACUAGCCACAUCUACUAGCAUUCGGAUCUUCAAAGGGGCCAUGUUCCCUUUUCUCAGGUUGUUGCCACGUCCUUUCUGUCUCUGCCCCCUCUCCCUGCCAACACACACUCUUUCUAGGGCCGAGCAGAGUACAGUGCCUGGCAUGUACUGGGCAGUCAAAUAUCUGGAGAAUGAAUGGCUAGCUGGAUAAAAGGGAACUGACACUAGUAAGUUACUUAUAGGGAGAUAGAUUCGGGAUUCAGGAGAUCGAGAGAGUUCCCAGGUAUUUUUACCAUGUAGUAGAACAUGAGGUGAUUGAUUUACUAAAAUAAGAAAGAGGAGGAGGUGGCUUGAGAAAGUCGUGAAGGUUUGAAACAGGUGUGAUGAAAAGCGGGAGACAGCUUACUGGGGACCCCGUCACAGAUGCUCAUUUGACAUUUCCCGAGUGUCUGCUGUGUGCUCCCUGCAUGAACUUGCUGGGCAGCAUGGAGGGCGGUUGCUGUGGGAGAUCGAGCUUGUAAUGGAACCAACCCACGAGGGAGUGAUCUCCUCCGUUCAGCAGUACUCAGCUGCUUGGAUGAAUGAGCUAGAACAGUGUUGUGGGGUAGGGAUGAUGGAUGACCAUGGAAGCGAUUGGGAGUCUGAGUCCAAGAGGGUUUGUGGUCUGGGCCACAUAGAGAAAUGAGUAUAAAAGUGGCCUAUUGGGGCAUCUGGCUAGCUCAGAGGAUAGAGCGUGCGACCCUUGAUCUCAGGGUCAUAAGUUCAAGCCCCACAUUUGGUGUAGAGCUUACUUUAAAAAAAAAAAAGGUGGCCUAUUAGAUUGAGAGACUAUAGAAAGUCAUCAACAGGCUUGGGUCUCGAGGUUGAAGAAGUAAGAUAGUUGGAGAAAAUAGUGCAUUUGAGAUUAAAAUUUCAAAGGAUAUAGAGGAAGACAGGAACUAGGUUGAGUGGCCAUGAGAGUGAAUGAUUGAAAGGGUAGGGAGGUGAAGGUUAUUGGAUCUGAGGAGAAUGUUCCUUAGGGCUUUUUCAGUUGCAAAUAGCAAAAAUCUGACUAAAACUGGCUAACCAAUAAAGAGGAUUCGUUGGCUUAUGCAAUUGAAAAGUCAAGAGGUAGGGUGGGAUUCAAGUUCAUUUUGAUCCAGAGAUUUCAUGACAUCGCAAAGGGAUUUUCUAAUUUUCUUGUCACUGUCCUCCAUUUGUUAGCUUCUUACUUGGAUUCCCCCGCUGAGCUGCACAGGUAUCACAUCCUUAUACCACAAGAGGAAGAGAGGGAGCUUUUCUUUUUUUAAUUUGGAAGUAUUUAUUAUUAUUAUUUUUAAAUAGGCUUUACGUCCAACAUGGGGCUUGAACUCAUGACCCUGAGAUUAGGAGUCUCAUGCUCUACUGACUGAGCCAGCCAGGCGCAGCAGAGUGAGCUUUUCUUCACCAUUGGAAUCAGUUCCUGAACUUCACUCUAACUAGACUGACAGAAAAAUGCCCAUCAACCCUUGAAUUAAUCACCAUGACUAGGGAAAUAACGUGCCCUGUUUGGCUUGGGCAUGGGGGUUUUGCCCGCCCCUGUGACAAAGAGGAUGGUGUUACUCUGACGGGCCAGUCAGGGUUUGUCUGCCAUUGGAGGUGUAUUGGAGUCAGUCCAAAUGGGGAGGAGUAGAAAGGACAUUGGGGAGGGAACCUACAUUGUCCACCCCAGUGAGGAACUAUGAUGUUAAUUAUUGCCUUAUACAUUGAAGACGCCAGGAUGGCAACAGUAUUCCGGGUGCCAUACCCUUCAGUAACUAUUGAGUGCCUGUGUAUUUAGUGAAUGACAGAGAUGAGAGAAGGUAGAGACGGUGUAUCAGAUUGGCAUCAACUCCAAAGGAGCUGAGAUUUUUACUGCUCUGAGAGUAACAGUGGGGAAGCAGCAUUGGGAUGCAAGGAGAAUGUGGACCCCACCUCCCAGUAUAAGAAUAUGGGGUUCACGGAAGGGAGCAGUCUCCCCUUGAGGGUGCUCCAGGUGAGUGAGGUCUCUUGGGAGGUAAGCCAGAUUUCAGAGGAGGCCAGAGUGAGCUUUGUGUAAAUAAAGGUAAAGAAUUUUAAGGGGUAGAGUGGGUUGGAAGUGUUAUGUAGACAUAGGUUUGCAGAGGUGAUAUAAGGCCCCUCAGAUGCUCUCUUAGCUCCCCUUUAUUCUUUGUACCUUUCUUAUGUUCAGUUUUGUGUAUAUAAUCACUCUUAUUUGCCUGAUCCUAGAUUUUUAGUCCUUUUUCUUCUUUUUUUUUUUUUUUUAAGAUUUUUAUUUAUUUAUUUAUUUGAGAGAGAGAGAAGGAGAGACAGUGAGAGAGCACAAGCGGGGUGGAGAGGGAGAAGUGGGCUCCCUGCAGAGCAAGGAGCCCGAUGCAGGGCUCGAUCCCAGGACCCUGGGACCAUGACCUGAGCUGAAGGCAGACACUUAACCGACUGAGCCACCCAGGCGCCCCCUUUUUCUUCUUUCUAUUGAGGUAUAAUGGACAUGUAACAUUAGUUUUAGGUGUGUAACGUGAUUCUGUAUUUUUAUACAUUGUGAGAUAAUCACCACAAUGAGUUUUUGGUUUUUUUUUAAGAUUUUAUUUAUUUAUUUGACAGAGAGAGAGAGAGGGAACACAAGCAGGGGGAACAGCAGAGGGAGAGGGAGAAGCAGGCUUCCCGCAGAGCAAGGAGCCCGAUGUGGGGCUCGAUCCCAGGACCCCGGGAUCAUGACCUGAGCCGAAGACAGAUGCUUAACCGACUGAGCCACCCAGGCACCCCACCACAAUGAGUUUUAAUUAACGUCCAUCACCACACAUAGUUAGAAAAAAAUUUUUUUCUUAUGAUGAAAACUCACCUCUAAUCUUAGCAACUUUCAAAUAUGCACUACAGUAUUAUUAACUAUAGUUCCCAUGCACAUGUACAUUACAUCUCCAGGACUUAUUCAUUUUAUAACUGGAAGUUUGUUCCUUUUGACCCUCUUCGCCUAUUUCUCCUACAAUCGGAGCUGUCCCUCCCCUCCCCUCACAACCAUUCUGUUUUCUGAAUCUGUGAGCUCAGUGUUUUGUUUUUACAGUUAAGUGAGGUCAUACAGUAUUUGCCUUUUUUUUUUUUAAGAUUUUAUUUAUUUAUUUGACAGAGAGAGACACAGCGAGAGAGGGAACACAAGCAGGGGGAAUGGGAGAGGGAGAAGCAGGCUUCCCAAGGAGCAGGGAGCCCGAUGCGAGGCUCGAUCUAAGGACCCUGGAAUCCCAACCCCAGCAGAAGGCAGACGCUUAACCGACUGAGCCCCCCCCAGGCGCCCCUUGAGUAGGCCUUUUUUUUUUUUCUUUAAAGAUUUUAUUUAUUUAUUUGACAGAGACACAGCAAGAGAGGGAACACAAGCAGGGAGAGUGAGAGAGGGAGAAACAGGCUUCCCGCGUAGCAGGGAGCACGAUGCAGGACUCAGUCCCAGGACCCUGGGAUCAUGACCCGAGCCGAAGGCAGACGCUUCACGACUGAGCCACCCAGGCGCCCCAGUAUUUGCCUUUCUCUGACUUAACUUCAUUUAGCAUAAUGCCCUAGAGGUCCAUCCAUAUUGUUGCAAGUGGCAGGUUUUCCUUUUUUUUUUAAUGGCUAAAUAAUAUUUCAUUGUAUGUAUAUGCCGCAUGAUCCUAAUUUUUAAAAUAUGUAUUCCUUAAUCAAGUUAGUUUUUCCUCCUUAUGUUGGUCACCUCAUGGCCUUAAAGAAGGCUGCUUCAGCUCCAGGCGUCACAUCCUUCCUACAGUGACCCAACUAGAAAGGAAGGAGGCAGUGAGGGCUUUCUUCUGUUGACACUCCAGUCCCCAACUGAGUUCCUCUUACAUCUUACUGACUAAAGCUGGGGCUACACAGAGCCACCCCAAGUUACAGGGGAGGCUGGGAAAGAGUAUCUAGCAGAGAGGAUCGUGAUGAGCGCCCCAGGGCCGGCACGCUGCCACCAGGAAUGCUCUGGGAUUCCGUAUGUCGGGAAGAGGGGAAACGGCUGUUGGGCAGUCGACGGUACUGCCACACCCAGUGGACCACAGCCCGUUGGGCCUGUAAAGCCACAUUUCUUUUUUUUUUUUUUUAAAGAUUUUUAUUUAUUAUUUAUUUGACAGAGAUAGAGAGCACAAGUAGGCAGAGAGGCAGGCAGAGGGAGAGGGAGAAGCAGGCUCCCCACCGAGCAGGGAGCCCGAUGCGGGACUCGAUCCCAGGACCCUGAGAUCAUGACCUGAGCCGAAGGCAGUCACUUAACCGACUGAGCCACCCAGGUGCCCCGCCACAUUUCAAGAGAGUAGUAUUUGUGGGGUGCCUGGCGAGCUCCGAACCUAUGACUCCUGAUCUUGGCUUGUGAGUUCGAGCCCCACACGGAGGGUAGAGAUUAGUUAAAUAAAUAAAACUUAAAAAAAAAAAAAAAAGAGGGUCAUAUUUGCAGACAUUGGUGACAGUGUCCCCGUACGCAUUGGUAUCUACCUUUCUCCGGAAGAGGCAGGCAUCCUGUAUGUGUUAGUGUCCAAGGCCGGCUGUUUGAGAAGUAACAGAUGUACAUUUGUUUAAUUCUUGUGAUUAAUGACCCUUAAUUUGUUCCAUCUUUGUCUAUAUAAGUACAACAAUGUACUGAAUUGUGUCUCGUCUUGCAUUUAGUAUGUAGAUCAGUACCUCCUCCCUUAUAUGCCCCUAACUGGCAAAGGUUGGGAAAGAUUAGGGACCUUCUGGAUGGGAGAAUUUGUGCCAUGUCCUCUAGUUUUCUGGAAAUGUAAUUACUUGAAUGAUGAACUAGACCAAGAGUGCUUCUUAACCAACUGAGCCACCCAGGCGCCCAGACCAAGAGUGCUUCUUAAAAUCACACAUUGCAAGAUCCCUGUUUGUAUUAUCUGAAGCCAGCUAGGCCAGCAGGCCUUGGGCCACACGCCCAGUAUUGAACAACUCGAUAAGAGACUUUAGAAAUACAAGUUUCUCUGCCCUUGGGUUUUCCUUCCUCAAUUAAGUUUCUGGGUUGGGGGGAGGGCAGCUGUGUCCUCUUGCUCAUGGUCAAGGCUUGAGAAUCCUCUUUAAAAAAAAAAAAAAAGAUUUUAUUUAUUUAUUUGACAGAGAGAGAGAGAUAGCAAGAGAGGGAACACAAGCACGGGGAGUGGGAGAGUGAGAAGCAGGCUUCCCACCGAGCAGGGAGCCCAACGUGGGGCUCGAUCCCAGGACCCUGGGAUCAUGACCUGAGCCAAAGGCAGACGCUUAACGACUGAGCCACCCAGGCGCCCCUUGAGAAUCCUCUUAAGUUGAUGGGAAGGAAACGGAGACAGCAGAAGACCAGCACCCAUCACGUAGGCCUGAAGCCUUUGUGGAUAUGGUGACACCUGCCACUAAGACACACUGUGGUCCCGUGCUGGGGCGCAGAGCUUCCAGGUUCACGGCUUAGGAGUCCUUUCCCUGCACAGCCCACGAGAUCAUAACGGACAGCGGACGGCAGACGGAGGGAGACACAGCGAGAGAGGGAACACAAGCAGGGGGAGUGGGAGAGGGAGAAGCAGGCUUCCUGCUGAGCAGGAAGCCCGAUGCAGGGCUCGAUCCCAGGACCUGGAAUCAUGACCUGAGCCGAAGGCAGAUGCUUAACGACUGAGCCACUCAGGCGCCCCGACUGGGAAUGAGUCUUACUGAGAAACUCAAAAGGAGCCACUUCACACAGGUCCCUUGACCAUCCUCAACGGAACCAACAUUCUCAGUGGCUGCAUCCACAGUAGGUUGUGACCACUAAUUAAAUUGACAUGAUUCAUAAAUCGAAAGCCUUUUUUUUUUUUUUAAGUUUAGCUUGCAUUUUUUCCCUUUUUUAUUUAAAAAAAUUAACAUUGACAUAGAACAUUAAAUUCGUUUCAGGUAUGCAACAUAUUAUUUGUAUACAUCUCAAAAUGAUGAACAGUAAGUCUAGUUAACAGUUAACAUCUACCACCUUCCGUAGUUACAAAUUUUUUUCCUUGUGAUGAGAACUUUUCAGAUCUCUUGCCUUAGCAACUUUCAAAUAUACAGUAUGGUAUUAUUAACCAUAGUCACGAUGCUGUACGUUGCAUCCCAGGUCUUAUUUUAUAGCUGGAAGUUUGUGUCUUUUUUUUUUUUUAAAGAUUUUAUUUUUAUUUAUUUGACAGAGAGAGACACAGCGAGAGAGGGAACACAAGCAGGGGGAGGGGGAGAGGGAGAAGCAGGCUUCCCGCAGAGCAGGGAGCCCGAUGCGGGGCUCGAUCCCAGGACCUUGGGAUUGUGACCUGAGCCGAAGGCAGACGCCCAACGACUGAGCCACCCAGGUGCCCCGGAAGUUUGUGUCUUUUGACCCCCUUCACCCAUUUCUCCCAUCCCCCAACCUCCACCUCUGGAAUCACCAAUAUGUUCUCUGUAUCUAUGAGCUUUUUUUUAGUAUUAUUACUAGAUUCCACAUGUAAGUGAGAUCAUACAGUAUUUGGCUUUGACUUGUUUCACUUAGCAUAAUGCUCUCGAGGUCCAUCCAUGUUGUUGCAAGUGGUAAGACUUUCUUCCUUUUAUGACUGCAUAAUAUUCCGAUGUGUGUGUAUGAGUGUAUGUGUGUGUGUGUAUACACACAUGCACACCCCACAUUUCUUUACCCAUUCAUUCUUCAGUGGUCACUUAGGUUGUUUCCCUGUCUUGGCUAUUGUAAAUAAUGCUGCAGUGAAUAUGGGGGUUCAGGUAUCUUUUUGAGGUAGUGAUUUCCUUUAGAUGUAUACCAGAAGUGGAAUUGUUGGAUCACAUGGGAGUUCUAUUUUUAAUUUUUUGAGGGCCCUCCGUGCUGUUUUCCCUAGUGCUUGCACUAGUUUAUAUCCCACCAACAGUGUACGAGGGUUCCUUUUCUCACCCACACUUGUUAUUUCUUGUCUUUGUGAUGAUAGCCAUUCUAACAGGUGUGAGGUGAUGUCUGAUUGUGGUUUAAAUUUGCAUUUCCCUGAUGAUUUGUGAUGGUGGCUAUCUUUUCAGGUACUUGUUGGCCAUCUGUACGUCUUCGGAAAAAUGUCUAUUCAGAUCUGCCCAUUUUUUUAAUUGGAUUUCUUUUUUUUUGUUAUUGUGUUGUGUGAGUUCUUUAUAUAUUUCAAAUAUUAAUGCCCUAUCAGAUUUGCAAAUAUUUUCUCCCAUUCGGUAGUUUGCCUUUUCAUUUUGUUGGUUUCGUAUGCGGUGCGGGAACUUUUUAGUUUGAUGUAGGUGAUUAUUUUUGCUUUUGUUGCCUUUGCUUUCGGGUAUCACAUUAAAAAAUGUCAUUGCUGGGCGCCUGGGUGGCUCAGUCGUUGGGCGUCUGCCUUCGGCUCAGGUCAUGAUCCCAGGGUCCUGGGAUCAAGUCCCACAUCGGGCUCCCUGCUCGGCAGGAAGCCUGCUUCUCGUUCUCCCACUCCCCCUGCUUGUGUUCCUGCUCUCGCUCUCUCUCUGUCAAAUAAAUAAAUAAAAUCUUUAAAAAAAAAAAAUGUCAUUGCUGGGCGACUGGGUGGCUCAGUUGGUUAGGCGACUGCCUUUGGCUCAGGUCAUGAUCCUGGAGUCCCAGGAUCGAGUCCCAUAUCGGGCUCCUUGCUCGGCAGGGGGUCUGCUUCUCCCUCUGACCCUCCCCCCUCUCAUGUGCUCUCUCUCUCUCAUUCUCUCUCUCAAAUAAAUAAAUAAAAUCUUUAAAAAAAAAGUCAUUGCCAAGACCUAUGUCAAAGAGCUUAUCGCAUAUUUUUUCUAGUUUUGUGGUUUCUGGUCUUACAUUCAAGUGUUUAAUCCAUUUUUAGUUAAUUUUUGUGUAGGGUGUAAGAUAGUGGUCCAGUCUCAUUGUU